rnacentral:misc_RNA from 1 species
CCUAGUUUAAGCUGUCAAACAAAUGAUAGAAUGGAAAAUGAAAUGUUGAAUAACCCACUAGUAGGGAAGAGAUAUGGAUGGAGUCUCGCUCAAUAAAGAGAGUUGUAGAUUCGUAGAAAAGGAGAAGAGCCUUGACUUUCGAUUUUUUUAGUAAAGCGCUAACGCUGCAAUCUUUCUAAAGUAAGAAGCGCGAAACUUGACUUUGAGAAAGAAGGUGCUUGUUGCCGCUUUAUUAGUAAGUAAGCUUGUUUUAUAUCAUAUCAAUAAAGGUUGCUUUUAUAAAAAAAAAAAAAUGGAAUAUGAAUAUAAGGCGGGCGCGUUAGCGCUUUAGUUUUCAAUAAGGACAUUUAGGCUUUACUAAAGGGCUUUUUUUUUCAGGUUUGGAACCCUAUACAAAACAAAACAAAACAAAGGGCGUUUCCUUUCAAAUGACAACUGCCUCUUCCUGCUGCGAGGGCGUUGCACGAAACCAAACCGCCCCCCACCCGAUCAAGUACCAGUUGCUUCGCUGGUAGGCCCACUUAGGUUAGGGGGCAUUGUCCCUCAGUUCUUACCAACCUCCGGUGUGUAAUCGACAUGUUACUAGCUUCAACUCGGUUGAAUAAGAAUCAUUGAUUCCCUCUGCUGUCCAUUUCUUAUUCAUUCAGGGUGCUCGGCCGGUGCUCCUUUAUCAAACCAGAACAACUCUGAACGUUAGGGAAGCCCACGGAGCGGGAAGACCACCUGAGCGAACCGACCGAAGGGACUUGACUUAUCCGAACCGAACGAUAGCGGCUUAAAGCUAAGCCUAUCACGAGCAGCGUCGCUGCGCGGGGAGGAGCAUUUAAAAGUAUGGGGCAAAGGAUCAAGCGCUUUGACUUUGUCCCCCGGGAUCCACCACAGGUUGGGUUUGAGUG